AUCCUCUUCUGUUGUAUCGUCUUC
rnacentral:siRNA from 1 species